CCCUAACCCUUUUAUCUAUUUUGCUAUUUUUUUAUAAGCUAAUAGUUGGUCUGUGUUGUUAAGUGUUUCUAAUUGAUGGUCUUAUAGUAUGAUUUUUGCCUUAAGCACUGUUUAAAUAAGCUUAGAAUGAGUCCCUCCUAAACAUGAUACCCUAUUUAUCUUAUGUACCUAAUCUAGUAGUUUGCUAUUAAUAGUCUAGACUAGUGCUGAUCUUUCACAAAAGAUGUUUGAGACUGCUGGAAAUUGAAAUGGUCUGUGUUGAAAUGGUUUUGAGGUUUGAUAAAGGUCAACAGCACACUAUCAGUAAUGUAUAUUGAAAUAAGGAGUUUUUGUCUCAUUUAAUUAAGGAACACAUAUGGUAUUGUAAGGUUGUUUGAACAUUAAUUUAGAUUUUAUGAUCUCUAGAUAAGGCUGCUUGGUGUUAAGAAGUCCAUAUGACAUGUUUAGAGGGUUACUGUUUGAUUACUUGCCUUUUAAUGUGAUAACACCUAUAUCAAAAAGGGAUUAGUGAUUUAAACAUAUCUAUAAUUGUUGUCUAAUGACCUUUGCUUGGAACGUUGAACAUGUCUAUAACUAUCAUUAGCUGAUCUAUGAUGUUCUUCUUUCAAAAGUGAGAUUUCCCUACUCCUAUCUUACUAUGCUUAAGUAAGAAUCACUUUAAACUUGUGCCUAAAUAAUUUUGGUGCAAACAUGUUAUGGUCACUCCUGAUGUCUUCCAUGACUAAUGCAACAUUGUUAUACAAGACCAUAGCUUGACCUUGUUCCUAUUUUCUAUUAGAUUGUUAAACUCUAUAGUGUGCAAUAACUGUUUGACUUUGGUAAAUAUGGUGAAAAAAAGAGGAUCAGGGACAUAGGCAGAUUAAGAAUACAACAUUUCUUUUUAAAAUAAAUAAAAUAAAUAGCCUUAUGUCCUGUUCAUGGAUCAGUCUAGCUUAUUGCCUUAUCUUAAAAAAUAAGUCAAGUUAUAACAAGACUUACAGAUUAGGCAGGCUUUGUUGGGAAACUAUAAUGCUUGAGAUUCUUAUUUGAUUAUGACCUUUGGAUUAAGUUUGGCUAAAGAAGAUAACUAGCUUGUUGCUGACAAUUUAAGUUCUAAAUUGAGAAAAAUUGAGUGAACCUAGCUUUAAUAACUAGCUAUUAUUAAGUUAAAUGUUUGAACAUCAAUCAAGGAUAGAACCAUAAUAGGAAUAGGUCUAGAAAGGUACGAAAUCAAGAUUGUUUGAGGAAAAGGGGGGUUAGGCUAAUAAUGAACCAUUAGUUUAUUAUGGUGACAUUACUUGGCAAGUUUAGUCCACUUCUGUGUUAAAACAUGACUAGCUAAAGGGGAGGGACGAUGAAGCCACCUAGGCUAGCUUGAACCUUGUUUACAUACAUGAGAAGAACUCUGCCUAAAGAUUAAUUAGCAAGGGAUUUCAGUCAAUCUUCUUUUAAAAGAAGCUAGCCCCUUUAGAACUUGAGUAGAAAUCUAAAAUGUUUGCCACGUGACCUAUUUAUGAAGAUGCUCUACUAUCUUUGCACCUGUAUUGUCUUUUAGGGGUUUGUUUAUUUGCCAGUUGAGUCUGCCUUUCCUUUUCCUUUUUUCUUUCUUUUAUGUGGAUCUUGUUGUGUCAAAGGCUUAAAGGUUUAAUCAUGCUUAAGAAUUAAAGGGUCCCUACCGAGAAUGAGGGUUGGUCCAUGGACAUUUGGCUAUUUGUUUGCUUGAAAUCCCUUUGUAUCUUGCUUAGAGGUUCUGAAUGUCUCAAAAAGAAAGUCAGCACUGUGCUCUAGCCCAUGAGUGUGAUCAUGCCAUAUCCAAGAUCAGGUAGCCAAUCUAACCUGCAAUGUUAAAUCCUGAGAUUCCUAUAUGAGUGCUAUUGGAAUAUAACUGUUUCAAAUAAAGAAAAAAGAAGGGGAAAUCUGCCUACCGUCCACUACUUGAAUCAUUAGUGUUUAGGUCUAAUUGCUAAUACUCUAUCCAGAUAUUUUAGUUAUCAUCAUUUAAUUGGAUGCUUCAUAUACAUUUUCCAUGACUUGAUCAAUUGAGGUUUGUAACAUGACAUGACUUGCUAAAUGCCUAGACUAAUUUAAGAUGGUUUUGUGAAGUUGAAGUAGGUUAAGGAACUUGUUGAUGACACCUUUACUUAUUCUGUGACUCUGUGUGAACUUUGUUAGACUCUAGUGGUGAAAAUGAUCCUAGUCUUAGUCUAAAUGGUCCAGUCUACUUAUGUGUCCGUACAUUUGAACUUGAUUAAGCAUUUGGCUGUAAAUGGUUUCUGGUAGCAAUGCUCCUUAUGAUUAGAGAGGGAUUGAGAGUAAGCUGAAAAUCACAUGGCUAGGAAGAGCCUUUUCUAAAGGUGCCUUAAGAGGGGAUCAAGGGGAGAAUCAAGCACUGUUUGGUUGACCACACCUUUCUUUCAAAUAAAAGGCACCAUGCCACUUUCAUAAGCCUAUGGUGGUGCAUGCUAACUGUACAAAUCUUUCAAAAUCAUGUGAACUUUGUUGCCAGAACCUAGAAGACUUGGCUAGAACCAGACAUGCAUUGAUAAAUGGUUUAGUAAAACCUAGUAAUGAACCUAGGUACAUAUGUACAUGACUGAACUAGAAUACAAAAGAAAGAACUUAAAAGGAAACAGGAAAUCUGAAUAGGUAAGGCAUUGAAACUGAAACUGAGUCAUUAAAGACUGUUAAGAUAAAAAAACUCCACCAAGGAGACAUGAAUGAUUUUAUGCAUUCUUUCUAUGCUAUGUAUGGAGCCUGCAUACUUUGCACUUGAUGUUUUCAUCUUGUUAAGUCUAACUGGGACCUGAAAGUCCAUCUCUGUGCCAUGUUUAUGUGUCUAAACUUGACUGAAAUCAAUUCCCUUUUCUCUAUGUUAUACCUGUCUGCUCAAUCUGCAUAUGGCUUUUGAAAAUAUGACCUAGAAUAUACUUUUCUUUUAACCUGGGCCUGCUUUUGUCUCCUUUAUAUGUGCAGUGUGUGUUUGUGACUAAACUCCAUAAUAGAAUCUUUCCAUAUUUGAACAUCUUCAUGAAGAGAUUGAUAAGCUCAUUUUGCCUAGACCACUUCUAGUUUAUAAUGAUUCACUGUUCAAUGAAUAUAUUCUUGCCCCUUGUUGUGAUUGAGUAGUAGUAAUGCUGUACAGUGAAGCAUUGUACUUUAUUUCUUGGGAGUUAUUUUCUUUUUGCCUAUUCCUCAGUGUCCUUGUUUAAAGGCCGGACUGUUCAAUGACACUACUAAAAAAAUAGGAUUUUUCGACCUAAAAAAACCGACCUCAUGAGGUCGGUAAAUUCAUAAUAUUUAUUUUUUAAUUUUUUUUUUAAAAUAAACCGACCUCAUGAGGUCGGUAAUAUUGUACCAAAAUUUGAAAAAAUAAUUUACCGACCUCACUAGAUCGGAAAUUAAUUUGAUGCUAAAUAUUAUAAUUUUAUUUUUAAUUUAAAAGAAUACCGACCUCAUGAGGUCGGUAUUUUUUAAAAUUAAAAAUAAAAUUAUUAAAUUUACCGACCUCAUGAGGUCGGUAAAAUUAGUCAUAAAACUAAAACGUACAGAUCACCCAAAUAAACAUUUCUCUCUCUUUCCUCUCACCUUUUCUCUCCCCCUCUCUCUCUCUCUCUAACCCUAACCUACUAACUCCAUCGACAUCGCCAGAUUCCUGCCAGCCACCGCAGCCCCUACCCAGUCCCGCCGUUGCCGUCGCCAUCGACGGCGAACCAUUGGAGUUGUGUAUGCCAUCUAUUACCAUGCUUCAGUAUUAGAACUGGACCAAAGUGUCGGGGUUCUUUGAGGGAGCAGUAGCCAAGUUGGUAAUUCUAAUUCUUGGACUCACAUAUAAUUGUUUGCGAAGCAGUUCUUUUGCAAUGUUAAGGUCAGGUGCCACUGAAGAAUGACAAAGACAAAGCUCCAAUCAAGGACAAACUAGCCUUUGAUGCUAGUUUAGCAAACUAAAAGGAAAAAUGUGUCUGGCGCCCGGAACAUGAGACGCAGCUAGCUCAAAACUUCAAGAAGAAAUCUCAGCGCUUACUAUGUUUGAAUGUUAAUGUUGUGGUGGAUUUGUGGAUUGUGUAAGUGUUUUGUGGAUGUUUGCGAGCGGUGAAGUAGUCUAUUGUUAUAGACUAACUUAGUCUAAUGUUGUAGACUAAUUUAGUGUAGAUCUACUAGUUUAAUGUUUUGUGGAUGUUUGCAAAGGUUGUGAAGUAGUUUAAUGUUGUGUAGAUGUUUGCGAAAGUUGAAGUAGCUUAAUGUCUCUUCGGAAUGUUUGAAUGACGUUUUGAUUAAACUUUGAAGUAGUUUCGAAUUGAAUUUGACGUAUUGUUGGUUGUAAUAUAUGUGGUUGUUGAAGUA